rnacentral:rRNA from 1 species
UACGGGGGGAGCAAGCGUUGUUCGGAUUUACUGGGCGUAAAGGGCGCGUAGGCGGCCUCCGCAAGUCAGUUGUGAAAUCUCCGGGCUUAACCCGGAAAGGUCAACUGAUACUGCGGGGCUAGAGUGCAGAAGGGGCAACCGGAAUUCUCGGUGUAGCGGUGAAAUGCGUAGAUAUCGAGAGGAACACCUGCGGCGAAGGCGGGUUGCUGGGCUGACACUGACGCUGAAGCGCGAAAGCUAGGGGAGCGAAUGGG